CCUGCGGAGGGAUCAUUACCGAGUUUACAACUCCCAAACCCAAUGUGAACGUUACCAAACUGUUGCCUCGGCGGGAUCUCUGCCCCGGGUGCGUCGCAGCCCCGGACCAAGGCGCCCGCCGGAGGACCAACCAAAACUCUUAUUGUAUACCCCCUCGCGGGUUUUUUUAUAAUCUGAGCCUUCUCGGCGCCUCUCGUAGGCGUUUCGAAAAUGAAUCAAAACUUUCAACAACGGAUCUCUUGGUUCUGGCAUCGAUGAAGAACGCAGCGAAAUGCGAUAAGUAAUGUGAAUUGCAGAAUUCAGUGAAUCAUCGAAUCUUUGAACGCACAUUGCGCCCGCCAGUAUUCUGGCGGGCAUGCCUGUCCGAGCGUCAUUUCAACCCUCGAACCCCUCCGGGGGGUCGGCGUUGGGGAUCGGCCCUGCCUUGGCGGUGGCCGUCUCCGAAAUACAGUGGCGGUCUCGCCGCAGCCUCUCCUGCGCAGUAGUUUGCACACUCGCAUCGGGAGCGCGGCGCGUCCACAGCCGUUAAACACCCAACUUCUGAAAUGUGACCUCGGAUC
rnacentral:rRNA from 1 species